GAGCAAUGUUUAACUUGCCAGGGUAUUGUAUACAGGGCAGCACAGCCUCACAAGCCCUUUGCUGCCUCUCCCCCUUCGUUGCUCCAGCUUAGAAAACCGUGGCUAAACCACAGAGGAUAAUUUCUGGACAGAGAACAGCUCACCACCUUCCUCCUUUUGGCAGACUGACUGCUCUUGAACACUGAGGCAGAGUACCAUGGACUUCAGGACUACAGCAUUAACUCUGGUAGCUAACAACUGCUCAAUGUCACUUCCACAAACCCUCCUGGAACAAAUCACACACAGUUUU